rnacentral:lncRNA from 1 species
CGACAGCCAAAACGUUCGUUGCAAGUUUUUCAAAAAACAAUUUGAAAAAAUGCAGACAGAGCUGAAGAGCGUGUUUACGACUGAAGACACAGGCUUUGUUGUGAGUCUGAAACCGGAUUCAGGAUUCUCUCAGAAUAAAAUCAUACAAGAUUGGCACUCUGUUGAAGACAUUCUCCCAGGAGCUGUACCAGAGUCUACCACGCCCACCCAUGAAGCUGGACGUCUGACCAGCAGGCAGAGAUUGAUCAGUGUGAGUCUUCUUCAGUAGAUUAUGAGACCAUCAAAAAUGACGUUGACAGUUUGUUUAAUCAAUUAAACCUACGACAGAAACCUGCAGCAAAUGGCAGCAAAACACCAGAUGUCUUCGCAUCAAAUGGUAUGUUCAGGAAGUUCUCAAAGGCACUGACUGAUAAAAUGUACGACCACCUGAAUACUGGCCCAACAUAUCAGAUUCCUGUGGUUCAAACGGAAAGAUGUCUCUCUGACUCUGUCAUCUGUGGAAUCAGAAGAAAGUCUCACCUUUCACCUGAAGUUCUAUAUGUCAUGACAGAAGACGCAGUGGGAAAGUUCUUGCAGCAGGGGCUACUCUGGUUGGAAAAGGACCCAUCAGAAAAAGCAAGUCACAGUGACAAAGUCUCUGGUGCUCUAACUGACAUCCAAAACUUAAUCGCAAAAAUGCUGACACUACCCAAAGAAGAAAACGACAAGCAGGAGUCCCCUAAAGCCAGCAGCAGUCAGCAUCAGACUACAACAACUUCUCGUUCAAGUCAGGCAUCAAGCGCUAAUGAUGUGACACUAUCUGAAUACAUCUGCAGUGAUGAUGAUAUUAACAACUUGAAUGUCAGACGCCAUGUUGAUAGUUACAAAUUAAUUCCAGGCAAUGUGGCUCCAAGAGUCGCAAAUAAUGAAUUGUCCUCUGAGUUUUCACCGGUCUGUGACCCCAGUCAGAUGACUGAGAGGUUGACCGACCUCUUCAUCACUGCUCUGCUCAUGAGGCUUCUCACAAAAGUCCCUCGGAGGACCAGAAUGUCCCUGCAGCUGGCAGACAUCGACGCCAUCGUCAAACGUCUGUCAGAGAAGGCGCAGAAGGAAAUCAACAUCCCUAAAUCUGCUGUCAGAAAAAACAGAAACAUCUUGAAAAAUGCACACGAGAAGAUGUUCAUAGAGCUUGAAAAGGAGUUUGGUUCUCCAAAAAGGCUACUGGAGGCUGCAAUGGCAUCAAACGAUAAAUCUUUUGAUGAUGCUGUUUUGAAGAGUCUGAAAAUCCAUCUGAAUAUCCUCCUCAGUCCACGGCCAAAGACGUUUGCAGCUGUCAAGUCUGCAGUUGUCAAGUUUUUUACAGCAGUGGGAAACUUGUUAAUCAAGCCCUGUAGGGGUUUCCCUGCCUGCGGCCCCAAGCAGUCUUAAAGCAUACUGCAUUUGUCUUGG